rnacentral:rRNA from 1 species
CAUCCGCCGCGGUAAUACGGAGGGUGCAAGCGUUAUCCGGAUUUAUUGGGUUUAAAGGGUCCGUAGGCGGAUCUGUAAGUCAGUGGUGAAAUCUCACAGCUUAACUGUGAAACUGCCAUUGAUACUGCAGGUCUUGAGUAAAUUUGAAGUGGCUGGAAUAAGUAGUGUAGCGGUGAAAUGCAUAGAUAUUACUUAGAACACCAAUUGCGAAGGCAGGUCACUAAGAUUUAACUGACGCUGAUGGACGAAAGCGUGGGGAGCGAACAGGAUUAGAUACCCCAGUAGUCCCUGUCUCUUAUAC